GACGAACGCUGGCGGCGUGCCUAAUACAUGCAAGUCGAACGCAGUGGGGACGGGUGAGUAACACGUGGGUAACCUCCCAUCAGAGGGGAUAACACUUGGAAACAGAUGCUAAACCGAUAUUGAUGGAUGUACCCGCGGUGCAUUAGCUCGUUGGUGAGGUGACGGAUCACCAAGGCCACGAUGCAUAGGCGACGUGAGAGGGUGGUCGGCUACACUGGGACGGAGACAGGACCCAGUCUAAUACGCGAGGCAACAGUAGAGAAUCUUAGGCAAUGGAGUAAAGUCUAGCCGAGCACAGCCGAGUGAGUGAAGAAGGUUUGCGGAUCGGAGAACUAAGUUGUUAGAGAAGCGGUAUCUAACCAGAAAGCCACGGCUAACUACGUGCCAGCAGCCGCGGUAAUUC
rnacentral:rRNA from 1 species